GAUGAACGCUGGCGGCGUGCCUAAUACAUGCAAGUCGAGCGAACAGACGAGGAGCUUGCUCCUCUGACGUUAGCGGCGGACGGGUGAGUAACACGUGGAUAACCUACCUAUAAGACUGGGAUAACUUCGGGAAACCGGAGCUAAUACCGGAUAAUAUAUUGAACCGCAUGGUUCAAUAGUGAAAGACGGUUUUGCUGUCACUUAUAGAUGGAUCCGCGCCGCAUUAGCUAGUUGGUAAGGUAACGGCUUACCAAGGCGACGAUGCGUAGCCGACCUGAGAGGGUGAUCGGCCACACUGGAACUGAGACACGGUCCAGACUCCUACGGGAGGCAGCAGUAGGGAAUCUUCCGCAAUGGGCGAAAGCCUGACGGAGCAACGCCGCGUGAGUGAUGAAGGUCUUCGGAUCGUAAAACUCUGUUAUUAGGGAAGAACAAAUGUGUAAGUAACUAUGCACGUCUUGACGGUACCUAAUCAGAAAGCCACGGCGAACUACGU
rnacentral:rRNA from 1 species